CUCAACUUGACACCAUGCUGCCUUCUCCCUUGCAUUCUCCGGAACACAAACGGUUUGCCAUUUACUCUGUUGAAUCUCCUUUUUGAAAUAUCUGCUUUUUUGCUAGACAUGUAUCACAGGCUGUGUGCUGGUUUCCUUAAGCUUCCUGGAUCCCAAAGGAAGCUGGAGGAACUUGUGCGCCAGUCAUCAGCAAAGCCCGGACACCCAGCUGAACGAAUCCCUCAGUGAGCUGCCCACGAGCCCUCAGGAGUCCAGCUCAUGCCUAGUGCUCUUCCCAGCAUGGACAGCUGGGGCUACUGGGCCUGGCCUCCUGAUGAGGUUCAAGUGGAAGCUGUUUCAGUCUGGUUUUUGGUUGACGAGAUGUCCAGCUGAGCAUGACUAAAUGGCUUCAUUCCCAUUUGCACAUGAUCCAAAAGGACUUUGUGGCCAGCCCUAGUCAUGCUCUGAGGUCUAUUUCCCUCACUAAGCCCACAAUGACAAAAAAAAAAAAUCACAGAACCCAUGGAUCUUGGUGAAGAUUUCCAGAUCAAUGGGAGAAAUUGGAGACUCUCAUGAUGCUGAAGUCCAGACAGCAAGGAGUAUGUGGCUAGAGACAAGUUGCCUUCAUUCCUGGACCCUCCUCCAAAAGUCCCUCCCUCCCCUCUCUCUCUAUCUCCCACUCACUCUGCUAUUUCUGCCCUCAGGUAAUUUGUAAUCAUUUGAUACAAUAAAGAUGACCUUGUGUUUAAGUCACAAGA